rnacentral:rRNA from 1 species
GACGAACGCUGGCGGCGUGCUUAACACAUGCAAGUCGAACGGAAAGGCCCUGCUUUUGUGGGGUGCUCGAGUGGCGAACGGGUGAGUAACACGUGAGUAACCUGCCCUUGACUUUGGGAUAACUUCAGGAAACUGGGGCUAAUACCGCAUAGGAGCUCCUGCUGCAUGGUGGGGGUUGGAAAGUUUCGGCGGUUGGGGAUGGACUCGCGGCUUAUCAGCUUGUUGGUGGGGUAGUGGCUUACCAAGGCUUUGACGGGUAGCCGGCCUGAGAGGGUGACCGGCCACAUUGGGACUGAGAUACGGCCCAGACGCCUACGGGAGGCAGCAGUGGGGAAUAUUGCACAAUGGGCGGAAGCCUGAUGCAGCAACGCCGCGUGCGGGAUGACGGCCUUCGGGUUGUAAACCGCUUUCGCCUGUGACGAAGCGUGAGUGACGGUAAUGGGUAAAGAAGCACCGGCUAACUACGUG